rnacentral:rRNA from 1 species
UGGAUGCCCUGGCAGUCAGAGGCGAUGAAGGACGUGCUAAUCUGCGAUAAGCGUCGGUAAGGUGAUAUGAACCGUUAUAACCGGCGAUUUCCGAAUGGGGAAACCCAGUGUGUUUCGACACACUAUCAUUAACUGAAUCCAUAGGUUAAUGAGGCGAACCGGGGGAACUGAAACAUCUAAGUACCCCGAGGAAAAGAAAUCAACCGAGAUUCCCCCAGUAGCGGCGAGCGAACGGGGAGGAGCCCAGAGCCUGAAUCAGUGUGUGUGUUAGUGGAAGCGUCUGGAAAGGCGCGCGAUACAGGGUGACAGCCCCGUACACAAAAAUGCACAUACUGUGAGCUCGAUGAGUAGGGCGGGACACGUGGUAUCCUGUCUGAAUAUGGGGGGACCAUCCUCCAAGGCUAAAUACUCCUGACUGACCGAUAGUGAACCAGUACCGUGAGGGAAAGGCGAAAAGAACCCCGGCGAGGGGAGUGAAAAAGAACCUGAAACCGUGUACGUACAAGCAGUGGGAGCCUCUUUUAUGGGGUGACUGCGUACCUUUUGUAUAAUGGGUCAGCGACUUAUAUUCUGUAGCAAGGUUAACCGAAUAGGGGAGCCGAAGGGAAACCGAGUCUUAACUGGGCGUUAAGUUGCAGGGUAUAGACCCGAAACCCGGUGAUCUAGCCAUGGGCAGGUUGAAGGUUGGGUAACACUAACUGGAGGACCGAACCGACUAAUGUUGAAAAAUUAGCGGAUGACUUGUGGCUGGGGGUGAAAGGCCAAUCAAACCGGGAGAUAGCUGGUUCUCCCCGAAAGCUAUUUAGGUAGCGCCUCGUGAAUUCAUCUCCGGGGGUAGAGCACUGUUUCGGCAAGGGGGUCAUCCCGACUUACCAACCCGAUGCAAACUGCGAAUACCGGAGAAUGUUAUCACGGGAGACACACGGCGGGUGCUAACGUCCGUCGUGAAGAGGGAAACAACCCAGACCGCCAGCUAAGGUCCCAAAGUCAUGGUUAAGUGGGAAACGAUGUGGGAAGGCCCAGACAGCCAGGAUGUUGGCUUAGAAGCAGCCAUCAUUUAAAGAAAGCGUAAUAGCUCACUGGUCGAGUCGGCCUGCGCGGAAGAUGUAACGGGGCUAAACCAUG